ACUGGGUUGUUGCUACGGGCGUUACCUCGGUACCUAGGCUUAUUUUUAGUAGUCAGGUACCUGAAGUAGCGCGCGCAGCGACAACUC
rnacentral:pre_miRNA from 14 species